rnacentral:tRNA from 2 species
GUAUCAGUAGCUCAGCUGGAUAGAGCAACGGCCUUCUAAGCCGUGGGUCGCAGGUUCGAAUCCUGUCUGAUACA